UACGAAGGGGGCUAGCGUUGCUCGGAAUUACUGGGCGUAAAGGGCGCGUAGGCGGCACUGUUAGUCAGGCGUGAAAGUCCUGGGCUCAACCUGGGAACUGCGCUUGAUACGGCAGAGCUAGAGGAUGGAAGAGGGUCGCGGAAUUCCCAGUGUAGAGGUGAAAUUCGUAGAUAUUGGGAAAGAACACCGGUGGCGAAGGCGGCGACCUGGUCCUUACUG
rnacentral:rRNA from 1 species